GCCGGGGUGGUGAAACGGCAGACACGCCAGCCUUAGGAGCUGGUGCCCUCACGGGCAUGUGGGUUCAAAUCCCACCCCCGGCA
rnacentral:tRNA from 1 species